rnacentral:rRNA from 1 species
GAUGAACGCUGGCGGCGUGCCUAAUACAUGCAAGUAGAACGCUGAAGGAAGGGGCUUGCUCUUUCCGGAUGAGUUGCGCACGGGUGAGUAUCGCGUAGGUAACCUGCCUGGUAGCGGGGGAUAACUAUUGGAAACGAUAGCUAAUACCGCAUAACAGUAGAUGUUGCAUGACAACUAUUUGAAAGGGGCAAUUGCUCCACUACCAGAUGGACCUGCGUUGUAUUAGCUAGUUGGUGAGGUAACGGCUCACCAAGGCGACGAUACAUAGCCGACCUGAGAGGGUGAUCGGCCACACUGGGACUGAGACACGGCCCAGACUCCUACGGGAGGCAGCAGUAGGGAAUCUUCGGCAAUGGACGGAAGUCUGACCGAGCAACGCCGCGUGAGUGAAGAAGGUUUUCGGAUCGUAAAGCUCGGUUGUAAGAGAAGAACGAGUGUGAGAGUGGAAAGUUCACACUGUGACGGUAGCUUACCAGAAAGGGACGGCUAACUACGUG